rnacentral:rRNA from 1 species
GCGGUGGAGCAUGUGGUUCAAUUCGAUGCAACGCGAAGAACCUUACCUGGGCUUGAACCGCACCUGUAAACCUGUGGAAACACGGGUCCCUCCUUCGGAGGCACCUGCACAGGUGCUGCAUGGCUGUCGUCAGCUCGUGUCGUGAGAUGUUGGGUUAAGUCCCGCAACGAGCGCAACCCUUAUCCCUAGUUGCCAUCAGGUAAAGCUGGGAACUCUGGGGAGACUGCCGGUGAUAAACCGGAGGAAGGCGGGGAUGACGUCAAGUCCUCAUGGCCCUUACAUCCCGGGCUACACACGUGCUACAAUGGCAGGUACAGAGGGCUGCGAAGCCGCGAGGUGGAGCGAAUCCCAGAAAACCUGUCUCAGUCCGGAUUGAAGUCUGCAACUCGACUUCAUGAAGGCGGAAUCGCUAGUAACCGCGAAUCAGCAGGUCGCGGUGAAUACGUUCCCGGGCCUU